GUCUUAUUAAUGGAUAUUUGGUUACUAACCUUUGCUUUAGUAAAUAACCUGUGCACAGAGCCAUUUCACCCAUAUGCUAGUACAUCUGUAGGUUAAACUUUCAAAAGUAGAAAUACCAGAGUAGAGGGUCUAUGUUUUCAUAAUUUGGAAGGAUAUUUCCCAAUUCUCCUCCAUGAGAGAUAUACCAGCUUAUUUCCCACCAGCAACCUAUGAGAGGACUAGUUUCUCCACAGCCUCACCAAAAUAUUAUUAAACUUUUGGAUUUUUGUUGAUACAAUAACUAAAAAAUUGCAUUCAUUAUAGUUGUUUUUUUGUUUUUUUAUUUUUAAGCAAAAGAGAGAAUUAAUUGACCCAGGUAACUAAGAAGUCCCGCAGAGGAAGACUUCAGGCAUGGCUCGAUUCAGCUGUUCAAACCGUGUCAUUGUCACCUGAACACUGGCAGUAAUUCCAAGACUGCAGGCUCCAGAAAAGGCAGAACACACCUCUAUCUUGCUCACCUCUAUAUCUCCAGGAUCUUGCACAAGUUUCCUAAACAGGUGGGAUGUAAGCCUGAAGCUUCUGGAGACCACAUGGAGAGGUCCUGCCUGAGAAUGAAGCCUACACAAAAGGAAACGGCUGAGAGAUGAAGAAACGCGUGGCAGGAUCUUGGGGAAUAUUACUUGAGAAUUCUCCUGGCUCUAGCUGUAUCUGAAGCAAGUCAACCUUCUUAAACUCCUUGGUUAUGUAAGCUAAUAUGUUAUAUCAAUCAUUAUUACCAGUAGCAAGUAUUUUGCUUAAACUAGUUUGAUUCUGUUUGAUUCCCCCUAAAAGAGUCCCUACUCUCCUCCCUCCAGGCACUUGGUAGGACUGCUCUGCCCAUCCCCUCUGAUGUUAGAUAUAACUGUGUGGAUUGCUUUGGCUGAUGAAAUGUUGUCAGAAGAGACCUGUAUCACUUCUAGGUAGAAGUUUUAAGAGCCUGUGCCUGGUUUGCCACAUCCUCUCACCUCUGCCUUAGUGAACUUGGAAGCCUGGGUCUAGAUGGAUCCCCUAUUAGCUUGGCCUUUGAAUGACCAUUAUGAACAGAGACCCCUGCUGACCUACCCAGAGUGUAUAGCAUAAGUGAGAAAGAUGCUUUCUUUGUGUUAAGCCACCGAGAUGUAGUUGUUCAUUAUUAUAGACAGAACCUAACCUCUUCUUUCUGAAACAAUCCCCCUGGGAUAAAAAUGAAGGAUGGUUUUCAUCAGCUCAGCUGUAGCUGCAGAGCCAACAGCUAACCAGCAGGAAGGGCACAUCCUAAAGCAGUCAGCUCCUUCCACAUUUCGUCUCUGUCCCCCAAGCCUCUAACAUCUGACAAGCAAUUCCAUAGCAAAUUGACUGUAUUGGUUUUUCCUAAGGUUUGUUAUCCUCCCAGAGGGAGGAUGAUUUUGUUUGGCAGAUGGUUAAAGUCAGUCUGGCUGGUAUCUGGCCAGUGAAUCCUGCAUUGGGUACACGUCCAGUUAGGGCAAAAAAGGAGGGGCAUCCUGGUCAGAUCCUUCUGCCCUGCCUGUGCCACUUAGGGCCACCAUGAGAAUGAUAUCAUCAAGGAGGGCUGGAGCUUUUGGCAUUCUAAAUACCUUCAGCAUCUGGUUUAGGGGUGGCCACGUAAUAUGUCCCUGGAGAGGAUGGAGGCAGGAUGGCAGAGUAAGGACGAGCCUGGGUUCUGUGGUCAGACAGGCCUGAAUUUAAAUCCACGCUCCACUUCUUCCUGGCUCUGGACUUUGGGCAAGGUCUGCUUCUCUGAGCCUCAGUUUCCUCAACUGAGAAAUGCAGGUUCCAUAGUGCUCACUUCAUUGGGCUGGCUGUUUUAGACUGUGGACAUAAAGUGUAUAGUCCAGGGCCCAGUCCUUGGGGAUGCUCAGUAAGUGGUGACUAUGGAUUCUAGUCUGGACAAGUCCCGUCUUUUCUUCUGUGGACAUCAGCUGAGACAAUGAUUCAUGAGAGAGAGCCCUUGUAGCUCUAAUACCUUUCAUGUCUUCCCUGUGGUUUCAAAACUAAGAAAAUGUAGAUUUUCUAAGUAAGGGUCACUGAGGAUAAUUUAUUAAAAAAUCAGAUUCUUAACAAAAUUAAUAUCCAUGUAAUUCAUGUUUUCUCUAUAGAACAAAUAGGAAAAUGUAGCUCUGCUACCAACUGGCUGUUGGGCCUUAGGCAGGAUCCUGUCUCUCUGGCCUCAAUUUCCUCAUCUGUAUAAUGGGAUUGGACUAGAUGCUAUUUGGGUCCCUAUUUGCUUUGACUGGUUAUGGUUUACUUAUAGUAAUAUACAGGGGCCUUUGCCUUCUCUUCCCAACCCCCAUCUAUUCUUAUUUUCUUUCUUUUUGUUUAAGUCUUUAUUGAAUUUGUUACAAUAUUGCUUCUGUUUUAUGU